rnacentral:siRNA from 1 species
GUAUUCUUGAGGUCCCUACUGAAU